rnacentral:rRNA from 1 species
GAUAAACGCUGGCGGCGUGCCUAAUACAUGCAAGUCGAUCGCUGGAAUUCAAGCUUGCUUGAAUGAAGGAGAGGCGAACGGGUGAGUAAUACAUAAGCAACCUGCCCACGAAGACUGGGAUAAUUCCUGGAAACGGGGACUAAUACCGGAUAGGCAAUAAUGACGCAUGUCAAUAUUGUUAAAGGUUAAAAACACUGGUGGAUGGGCUUAUGGCGCAUUAGUUAGUUGGUGAGGUAACGGCCCACCAAGACGAUGAUGCGUAGCCGGCCUGAGGGGAUAAACGGCCACAUUGGGACUGAGACACGGCCCAGACUCCUACGGGAGGCAGCAGUAGGGAAUUUUCGGCAAUGGGCGCAAGACUGACCGAGCAACGCCGCGUGAGUGAAGACGGCCUUCGGGUUGUAAAGCUCUGUUGUAAGGGAAGAAAUCUGAGGAGAGAAUCCUUAGUUGACGGUACCUUACCAGAAAGCCACGGCUAACUACGUGCCAGCCGCCGCCGUAAGAC